rnacentral:rRNA from 1 species
CAGUUCAGAUUGCAGGCUGCAACUCGCCUGCAUGAAGUCGGAAUUGCUAGUAAUCGUAGGUCAGCAUACUACGGUGAAUACGUUCCCGGGCCUUGUACACACCGCCCGUCAAACCAUGAGAGUUGGCAACACCCGAAGUCGGUAGUCUAACCGCAAGGAGGACGCCGCCGAAGGUGGGGUUGGUGAUUAGGGUUAAGUCGUAACAAGGUACC